CUGCAAUACAACCGUAAUUCAAUUCAUGACAUGCAUGUUUAUACCUAAUCACUGCUCUGAAAUUCGACGGCAAAGCCGAAUGUGGUUCUUCUGCUGCAGAAAUAAGCCACUGAAUAGACGGUGCAUUGUCUUCUUCAACCGAAGUCAUUUUAUUUACAAAGACAGUGAUUUUUAAUACGCGAACGUCAAGUGACAUUUCCAUGGCAAUCAUGGAAUGACAAAUAAUCAGCCCACUUAAUUAGAAAUGUAUUCGAGCAGCAGCGAUUGAGAACUUCAUCUACGACAUGAUCCAAUAAAGUUAAAACAUAGGUUCUAAAAGAGAAAGACGUAUUUAAUGGGUCCAAUAGUUCCUUACCAAUGGUUGUUGAGAAUACUGGUUUCCGCUAUCAAAAAGAUAAUCCAAGAAACGGUUAUGUAGUUACUCCAUAUUGCACUAUCAAGGGUCCAUGUUUAGAUGCGUAUGUAAAAAAUAGGCAAUCUGAGAUUGUGUCUUUUUGAAUGAACCGUGCGUAGUUAAAAAUGGCACAAUAUCUAAGUCACGGCAAGACGACAGUGCAAUAAGGAUAAGAAAAAUUAAACCCGAGAGACGCAGGUACUGAUGAGAACAAUAUCAUCUUAUAACUAUGAACAUGAAUGGUUUAAUUCUGUACUGGAAUUAUUGCUUCAAAAACAAUCCCGAUCCCGAGUACCGUGGGGAAAUGAACAAGAACAGUUUUCUUAAGGGGUUGGAAGAUCUUCAAAACGAUAUGCUGCUGAUGAGAUGAGAUUAGAAAAUGAACAUGCGAUUAUACCAUUGCGUUUUCAAGCCCAUAGAAAGGGAACAUUAUAACCGACAUAUUGGGAAUUUAGUUUUUGUAUUUG